rfam:Schistosoma mansoni, Puerto Rico, WGS project CABG01000000 data, contig: 0100
GCACUGCUGAGGAGUCCCACAAUAGGACGAAACGGCGUUCCAGUGC